rnacentral:rRNA from 1 species
UACGAAGGGGGCUAGCGUUGUUCGGAAUCACUGGGCGUAAAGGGCGCGUAGGCGGCUGUUCAAGUCGGGGGUGAAAGCCUGUGACUCAACCACAGAAUUGCCUUCGAUACUGGACGGCUGGAGACCGGAAGAGGUCAGUGGAACUGCGAGUGUAGAGGUGAAAUUCGUAGAUAUUCGCAAGAACACCAGUGGCGAAGGCGGCUGACUGGUCCGGUUCUGACGCUGAGGCGCGAAAGCGUGGGGAGCAAACAGG